rnacentral:rRNA from 1 species
GGGCCCGCACAAGCGGUGGAGCAUGUGGUUUAAUUCGAUGAUACGCGAGGAACCUUACCAGGGCUUAAAUGUAAGUUGCAUAGAUCAGAGAUGGUCUUUUCUUCGGACUACUUACAAGGUGCUGCAUGGUUGUCGUCAGCUCGUGUCGUGAGAUGUUCGGUUAAGUCCGGCAACGAGCGCAACCCACAUCCCUAGUUGCCAGCAGUUCGGCUGGGCACUCUAAGGAGACUGCCGGUGACAAACCGGAGGAAGGUGGGGAUGACGUCAAAUCAUCACGGCCCUUACGUCCUGGCUACACACGUGCUACAAUGGCCGGUACAGAGAGCAGCCACUACGCGAGUAGGAG